CGAGGGUCCCGUGUUAGAGACUGUCGCCCAACUCCGCCAGAUCCGGAAGGAAGCAACGGUAAGCGAACUGUCUCUGUGCACGUCAGGCUCCCGGGA
rnacentral:SRP_RNA from 1 species